rnacentral:rRNA from 1 species
GUGGGGAAUAUUCCGCAAUGGACGAAAGUCUGACGGAGCAACGCCGCGUGAGUGAUGAAGGUUUUCGGACUGUAAAGCUCUGUUGUUUAGGACGAAAGUGCCUGUUGCAAAUAGUUACAGGUAUUGACGGUACUGAACGAGGAAGCCACGGCUAACUACGUGCCAGCAGCCGCGGUAAUACGUAGGUGGCAAGCGUUGUCCGGAAUUAUUGGGCGUAAAGAGCAUGUAGGCGGGAAUCUAAGUCUGUUGUGAAAAUGCGGGGCUCAACCCCGUAUUGCGAUGGAAACUGGGUUUCUUGAGUGCAGGAGAGGAAAGGGGAAUUCCCAGUGUAGCGGUGAAAUGCGUAGAUAUUGGGAGGAACACCAGUGGCGAAGGCGCCUUUCUGGACGAUGUCUGACGCUGAGGCGCGAAAGCUAGGGGAGCGAACGGGAUUAGAAACCCGGGUAGUCC